rnacentral:rRNA from 1 species
AGCGAACGCUGGCGGCAGGCCUAACACAUGCAAGUCGAACGGACCCUUCGGGGUUAGUGGCGGACGGGUGAGUAACACGUGGGAACGUGCCUUUAGGUUCGGAAUAGCUCCUGGAAACGGGUGGUAAUGCCGAAUGUGCCCUUCGGGGGAAAGAUUUAUCGCCUUUAGAGCGGCCCGCGUCUGAUUAGCUAGUUGGUGAGGUAAUGGCUCACCAAGGCGACGAUCAGUAGCUGGUCUGAGAGGAUGACCAGCCACAUUGGGACUGAGACACGGCCCAAAUUCCUACGGGAGGCCGCAGUGGGGAAUCUUGCGCAAUGGGCGAAAGCCUGACGCAGCCAUGCCGCGUGGAUGAUGAAGGUCUUAGGAUUGUAAAAUCCUUUCACCGGUGAAGAUAAUGACUGUAGCCGGAGAAGAAGCCCCGGCUAACUUCGUGCCAGCCGCCGCGGUAACAC